AGAGUUUGAUCAUGGCUCAGAACGUACGCUGGCGGCACGCCUAACACAUGCAAGUCGAACGAAGUAGCAAUACUUAGUGGCAGACGGGUGAGUAACAUGUGGGUAUCUGCCCUUUGGCCUGGAAUAACACGAGGAAACUUGUGCUAAUACCGGAUAAGUCUUUACGGAGAAAGCUUUAUGCACCAUUGGAUGAGCCCGCACUUGAUUAGUUUGUUGGUGGGGUAAUGGCCUACCAAGACUGUGAUCAAUAGCUGAUUUGAGAGGAUGAUCAGCCACAUUGGGACUGAGACACGGCCCAAACUCCUACGGGAGGCAGCAGUGGGGAAUCUUGCACAAUGGAGGAAACUCUGAUGCAGCGAUGCCGCGUGAGUGAAGAAGGCCUUUGGGUUGUAAAGCUCUUUCGUCGGGGAAGAAAAUGACUGUACCCGAAUAAGAAGGUCCGGCUAACUUCGUGCCAGCAGCCGCGGUAAUACGAAGGGACCUAGCGUAGUUCGGAAUUACUGGGCUUAAAGAGUUCGUAGGUGGUUGAAAAAGUUGGUGGUGAAAUCCCAGAGCUUAACUCUGGAACUGCCAUCAAAACUUUUCAGCUAGAGUAUGAUAGAGGAAAGCAGAAUUUCUAGUGUAGAGGUGAAAUUCGUAGAUAUUAGAAAGAAUACCAAUUGCGAAGGCAGCUUUCUGGAUCAUUACUGACACUGAGGAACGAAAGCAUGGGUAGCGAAGAGGAUUAGAUACCCUCGUAGUCCAUGCCGUAAACGAUGUGUGUUAGACGUUGGAAAUUUAUUUUCAGUGUCGCAGGGAAACCGAUAAACACAC
rnacentral:rRNA from 1 species